CGUCCCUACUGCUGGUCUGCAUGUGCGGACGUCUGGAUUUUUGUGGUCAGCAGUGUCUGAGGCUGCACAUGCACUGAGUUCCCCUACAGCCCCUUACCCCCUGAGGGCAUGUAACGGGGUGAAGUGCAGACCCACCUCAGUUCCUUCACUAAUUUAGAAUCCAGGAGCAGUUUAAUCCCCAAAGUAAAGGGGAAGAAGAGAAGGGUGGAGAUUCACAGGAAGAUAUUGAGAACCAUAUUCCCUUCUUCUUCUUCUUCUACUGUGAGUGUGGAUCCUCACUAAUGCUGAAUAUAUUGAGGAUUGUUUGAAAUUGCAAGCUAUUACUUUGAGAGUGUCCCUGACCAACCGGCUCUGCAGAAAGCAUGUGACCAGAAAGAGCCCGCCGGCCUCGAGGAAGGUGGGGCUUCUUCUGGGCACUCGAUAUGGAACUACUGUGACGUUCCCCUGAUGUUAUCUGGACCGGUGAUCUGUUAGGUCACUCCAAUCCUUGACUCUGGGAGCCUGCCUUACCCUGCUCUGCAGUGAGAACCCCCACUCCUGGGCUGUUCACGCUCAGCCUCUGGCAGUCCUUAAUAUACAGGCUGAAGGUGAAUGCCCACAGCAGGCUGGUGAAGAUGAUGAAGAUCUCAGUCCUUGCCAGGUGCUCCCCCAAACACACAUGGUGCCCUGCAGAGGGACAAGGGGAAGGGCAGUAA